UCUGCAGCCAUACCACCCUGAAUGUGCCCAAUCUCAUCUGAUUUUGGAAGCUAAGCAGAGUUGGGCCUGGUUAGUACUUGGAUGGGAGAUCAUAGGACAAUCCUUUAUAUAGCUAGGA
rnacentral:rRNA from 1 species